UAUAUAUAAGUGUUAAAUUGCACAAAAAAUUUUGAAUUUUUUAGAAUUAGAUUAAAUUUAUUAUAUAUAA
rnacentral:tRNA from 1 species